rnacentral:rRNA from 1 species
AGUCGAGGGGCAGCAUGGUCUUAGCUUGCAUAAGGCCGAUGGCGACCGGCGCACGGGUGAGUAACACGUAUCCAACCUGCCGUCUACUCUUGGACAGCCUUCUGAAAGGAAGAUUAAUACAAGAUGGCAUCAUGAGUCCGCAUGUUCACAUGAUUAAAGGUAUUCCGGUAGACGAUGGGGAUGCGUUCCAUUAGAUAGUAGGCGGGGUAACGGCCCACCUAGUCUUCGAUGGAUAGGGGUUCUGAGAGGAAGGUCCCCCACAUUGGAACUGAGACACGGUCCAAACUCCUACGGGAGGCAGCAGUGAGGAAUAUUGGUCAAUGGGCGAGAGCCUGAACCAGCCAAGUAGCGUGAAGGAUGACUGCCCUAUGGGUUGUAAACUUCUUUUAUAAAGGAAUAAAGUCGGGUAUGGAUACCCGUUUGCAUGUACUUUAUGAAUAAGGAUCGGCUAACUCCGUGCCAGCAGCCGCGGUAAUACGGAGGAUCCGAGCGUUAUCCGGAUUUAUUGGGUUUAAAGGGAGCGUAGAUGGAUGUUUAAGUCAGUUGUGAAAGUUUGCGGCUCAACCGUAAAAUUGCAGUUGAUACUGGAUAU